rnacentral:rRNA from 1 species
CCUACGGGAGGCUGCAGUCGAGAAUCAUUCACAAUGGGGGAAACCCUGAUGGUGCGACGCCGCGUGGGGGAAUGAAGGUCUUCGGAUUGUAAACCCCUGUCAUGUGGGAGCAAAUUAAAAAGAUAGUACCACAAGAGGAAGAGACGGCUAACUCUGUGCCAGCAGCCGCGGUAAUACAGAGGUCUCAAGCGUUGUUCGGAAUCACUGGGCGUAAAGCGUGCGUAGGCUGUUUCGUAAGUCGUGUGUGAAAGGCGCGGGCUCAACCCGCGGACGGCACAUGAUACUGCGAGACUAGAGUAAUGGAGGGGGAACCGGAAUGCUCGGUGUAGCAGUGAAAUGCGGAGAUAUCGAGAGGAACACUCGUUGCGAAGGCGGGUUCCUGGACAUUAACUGACGCUGAGGCACGAAGGCCAGGGGAGCGAAAGGGAUUAGAUACCCCUGUAGUC